rnacentral:rRNA from 1 species
GAUGAACGCUAGCUACAGGCUUAACACAUGCAAGUCGAGGGGUAACGAGAGGAAAGCUUGCUUUCCUUGUCGACGACCGGCGCACGGGUGAGUAACGCGUAUCCAACCUGCCCCCAACUAGGGAAUAACCUUGCGAAAGUAAGACUAAUACCUUAUAAUUUCCUCAGAUGUCAUCUGACGAGGAAUAAAGAUUUAUCGGUUGUGGAUGGGGAUGCGUCUGAUUAGCUUGUUGGAGGGGUAACGGCCCACCAAGGCAACGAUCAGUAGGGGUUCUGAGAGGAAGGUCCCCCACAAUGGAACUGAGACACGGUCCAAACUCCUACGGGAGGCAGCAGUGAGGAAUAUUGGUCAAUGGGCGGAAGCCUGAACCAGCCAAGUAGCGUGCAGGAUGACGGCCCUAUGGGUUGUAAACUGCUUUUAUACAGGAAUAAAGUUAGCCACGUGUGGUUAUUUGUAGGUACUGUAUGAAUAAGGACCGGCUAAUUCCGUGCCAGCAGCCGCCGUAA